rnacentral:rRNA from 1 species
UACAGAGGGGGCAAGCGUUAUUCGGAAUUAUUGGGCGUAAAGGGCGCGUAGGCGGUUUUCUAAGUCGAUGUGUAAUCCCCGGGCUCAACCUGGGAACUGCAUCCGAGACUGGGAGGCUAGAGUACUGGAGAGGGUGGUGGAAUUCCUCGUGUAGCGGUGAAAUGCGUAGAGAUGAGGAGGAACACCAGUGGCGAAGGCGGCCACCUGGACAGUAACUGACGCUGAGGAGCGAAAGCAUGGGGAGCGAACAGG